AAUGAACGUUGGCGGCGUGGAUUAGGCAUGCAAGUCGAGCGGGUGUAGUAAUACAUCAGCGGCGAAAGGGAGAGUAACGCGUAGUUACGUGCCCCGAGGUCCAGAAUAGCUACGGGAAACUGUAGGUAAUGCUGGAUAAUAUCUCCGGAUCAACGGUGUGUUUCCGACUCGGGAGCGGACUGCGUCCUACGAGCUAGUUGGCGGGGUAAUGGCCCACCAAGGCAACGAUGGGUAGCGGGUGUGAGAGCAUGACCCGUCUCACUGGGACUGAGACACUGCCCAGACACCUACGGGUGGCUGCAGUCGAGAAUCUUCGGCAAUGAGCGCAAGCUUGACCGAGCGACGCCGCGUGCGGGAUGAAGGCCUUCGGGUUGUAAACCGCUUUCGGUUGGGAGGAAAUCGCUAGGGGUUCUCCCCUAGUUUUGACCUAUCUUCGGAAGAAGGACGGGCUAAGUUCGUGCCAGCCGCCGCGGUAAAAC
rnacentral:rRNA from 1 species